AUGAGUGACUCAAAGUGUGCAACCACUGCAAACAAUGGUCAGUAUGUAUAUGCAGAUAAAAUGAAACGCGAGACUAAGCUGGAAUUCUCCCCGGAAGAAGAAGAUAUAGUUGCAAAAAUGUUUAGAUUGGUUGGAAAAAGAUGGCAUCUCAUUGCUGGAAGGAUUCCAGGAAGAAGCGCAGAAGAUAUUGAAAAAUAUUGGAAUUCAAAGUUUUCUUCUUCAACUGCAUAA